rnacentral:rRNA from 1 species
GCCUGUUUAUCAAAAACAUGGCCUUAUGUUUAAAAAGUUGUAUAUAUAAGGUCUUACCUGCUCGCUGAUAAGUUUUAUUAAAGGGCUGCAGUAUAUUUAACUGUACAAAGGUAGCGUAGUAAUUUGUUUAUUAAUUGUUGACUUGUAUGAAUGGUUUGACGUGAUACUGACUGUCUUCUGGCAUAAUUAUUGUUGAAAUUUACUUUUUAGUGAACGAGGCUAAAUGUUUCCAAGGGACGAAAAGACCCUAUAGAUUUUUAGUUGUAUUUUAAUGUUAAUGAAUUUAUGUUUAGUUUUUGUUGUUAUUUUAUACUUUUUUGCUGGGGCGGCUGUUGAAGAUAAGAAUCUUCAGUUUUUGUUGUUGCAAUUAAUUGUUGUUUGUUGAUCCUGUAUUUAUGGAUAAUAAGAUAAAAAUACCUUAGGGAUAACAGCGUUAUUUUCUUUGAGAGUUCUUAUCGACAGGAAAGUUUGCGACCUCGAUGUUGAAUUAGAAUAAGGGUUAUGAUGUAGGAGUCUAAUUUUGUGGUCUGUUCGACCGUUUAAAAGUAAUAUUCUACGUGAUCUGAGUUCAGACCGG